rnacentral:lncRNA from 10 species
UUAUUCAGAAAGAAUCAAUUGGGAAAGGGCAGGCACACAGGGACAGAAGUUCUUCUGGGUUCUGGGUUUCAUCCAGGACCAGCAGUACGGUCUUUCAGCCCUCAGGCUGUUUUAAGCCUGAAGGCAUUCCGCGAGUUAUCCAAUGUAAAUUUAGACUUCCCCUAAAGUUAAUUUGCCUACCAGGUCAGCCUUCAAAAACUGCAAGCCACAAAAUUACUAUUGAUACCAACAAAUCUCCAGUCAGUCUUCUUAGUCUCUUCCCAGGUUUUGCCAGUCAGUCAGAUGAUGAUCAGGUGAAUGUAAUGGGUUUUCACUUCUUAGGAGGUGCUCGAAUUACUGUUCUUGCUUCCAAAACUUCUCAACGAUAUCGCAUUCAGAGUGAACAAUUUGAAGAUCUUUGGCUCAUAACCAAUGAGCUUAUUCUUCGCCUUCAAGAAUAUUUUGAAAAACAGGGAGUCAAAGAUUUUGCAUGUUCUUUUUCGGGAUCUAUACCCCUUCAAGAAUAUUUUGAGUUGAUUGAUCAUCAUUUUGAGCUACGGAUAAAUGGUG